rnacentral:rRNA from 1 species
CCUACGGGUGGCUGCAGUGGGGAAUAUUGGGCAAUGGGCGCAAGCCUGACCCAGCAACGCCGCGUGAAGGAAGAAGGCUUUCGGGUUGUAAACUUCUUUUGUCAGGGAAGAGUAGAAGACGGUACCUGACGAAUAAGCCAUGGCUAACUACGUGCCAGCAGCCGCGGUAAUACGGAGGUGGCAAGCGUUGUCCGGAUUUACUGGGUGUAAAGGGCGUGUAGUCGGGUUGACAAGUCAGAUGUGAAAUUCUGCGGCUUAACCGCAGAACUGCAUUUGAAACUGUUGAUCUUGAGUACUGGAGAGGCAGGCGGAAUUCCUAGUGUAGCGGUGAAAUGCGUAGAUAUUAGGAGGAACACCAGUGGCGAAGGCGGUCUGCUGGACAGCAACUGACGGUGAGGCGCGAAAGCGUGGGGAGCAAACAGGAUUAGAUACCCUUGUAGUC